GCGCAGCAGUCGCGAAACCUCCGCAAUACACGAAAGUGUGACGGGGCCAUCCCGAGUGCCGUCCGCUGAGGACGGCUUUUCCCCAGUGUACACAGCUGGGGGAAUAAGGAGAGGGCAAGCCUGGUGUCAGCCGCCGCGGUAAUACCAGCUCUCCGAGUGGUGGGGACGCUUAUUGGGCCUAAAGCAUCCGUAGCCGGCUGGGCAAGUCCUCCGUUAAAUCCAACGAUUCAAUCGUUGGGCUGCGGGGGAUACUGUCCAGCUUGGGGGCGGGAGAGGCCGACGGUAUUCCCGGGGUAGGGGUGAAAUCCUAUAAUCCCGGGAGGACCACCAGUGGCGAAGGCUGUCGGCUAGAACGCGCCCGACGGUGAGGGAUGAAAGCUGGGGGAGCGAACCGGAUUAGAUACCCCGGUAGU
rnacentral:rRNA from 1 species